GACGAACGCUGGCGGCGUGCUUAACACAUGCAAGUCGAGCGGAAAGGCCCUUCGGGGUACCCGAGCGGCGAACGGGUGAGUAACACGUGAGUAACCUGCCCCAGACUUUGGGAUAACCCUCGGAAACGGGGGCUAAUACCGGAUACGACACAGCUUUGCAUGGGGGCUGUGUGGAAAGUUUUUCGGUUUUGGUUGGGCUCGCGGCCUAUCAGCUUGCUGGUGGGGUGAUGGCCUACCAAGGCGACGAUGGGUAGCCGGCCUGUGAGGGCGAGCGGCCACACUGGGACUGAGGCACGGCCCAGACUGCUACGGGAGGCAGCAGUGGGGAAUAUUGCACGAUGGGCGGAAGCCUGAUGCAGCGACGCCGCGUGAGGGAUAACGGCCUUAGGGUUGUAAACCUCUUUCGGCAGGAACGAAGCGUAAGUGACGGUACCUGCAGAAGAAGGGCCGGCCAAAUACGUG
rnacentral:rRNA from 1 species